AACAGCAUGAUACAGUGGUUUGAGCACCAGACUAGAACUCUGGAGAUCAGGGUUUAAAUCCCUGCUCAGCAA